rnacentral:rRNA from 1 species
AUUGAACGCUGGCGGCAGGCCUAACACAUGCAAGUCGAACGAGUGGCGGACGGGUGAGUAAUGUAUGGGAAACUGCCUGAUGGAGGGGGAUAACUACUGGAAACGGUAGCUAAUACCGCAUACCAUCGGAUGUGCCCAGAUGGGAUUAGCUAGUAGGUGGGGUAAAGGCUCACCUAGGCAACGAUCCCUAGCUGGUCUGAGAGGAUGACCAGCCACACUGGAACUGAGACACGGUCCAGACUCCUACGGGAGGCAGCAGUGGGGAAUAUUGCACAAUGGGCGCAAGCCUGAUGCAGCCAUGCCGCGUGUAUGAAGAAGGCCUUCGGGUUGUAAAGUACUUUCAGCGUGGAGGCGUUACCCGCAGAAGAAGCACCGGCUAACUCCGUGCCAGCCGCCGCGGUAAUUC